UACAGAGGUCCCAAGCGUUGUUCGGAAUCACUGGGCGUAAAGGGUGCGUAGGCGGGUCUUUAAGUCAGGGGUGAAAUCCUGGAGCUCAACUCCAGAACUGCCUUUGAUACUGAAGAUCUUGAGUUCGGGAGAGGUGAGUGGAACUGCGAGUGUAGAGGUGAAAUUCGUAGAUAUUCGCAAGAACACCAGUGGCGAAGGCGGCUCACUGGCCCGAUACUGACGCUGAUGCACGAAAGCGUGGGGAGCAAACAGG
rnacentral:rRNA from 1 species